rnacentral:rRNA from 1 species
GAUGAACGCUGGCGGCGUGCCUAAUACAUGCAAGUCGAGCGAAUGGAUUAAGAGCUUGCUCUUAUGAAGUUAGCGGCGGACGGGUGAGUAACACGUGGGUAACCUGCCCAUAAGACUGGGAUAACUCCGGGAAACCGGGGCUAAUACCGGAUAACAUUUUGAACCGCAUGGUUCGAAAUUGAAAGGCGGCUUCGGCUGUCACUUAUGGAUGGACCCGCGUCGCAUUAGCUAGUUGGUGAGGUAACGGCUCACCAAGGCAACGAUGCGUAGCCGACCUGAGAGGGUGAUGGGCCACACUGGGACUGAGACACGGCCCGCACUCCUACGCGAGGCAGCAGUAGGGAAUCUUCCGCAAUGGACGAAAGUCUGACGGAGCAACGCCGCGUGAGUGAUGAAGGCUUUCGGGUCGUAAAACUCUGUUGUUAGGGAAGAACAAGUGCUAGUUGAAUAAGCUGGCACCUUGACGGUACCUAACCAGAAAGCCACGGCUAACUACGUGCCAGCCGCCGCGGUAA